rnacentral:lncRNA from 1 species
CAGUGUCCAGAAACUGAUUCAUGUUAAUAUAGCAUUUCAAUCUAGUAGCAUUGGGGUAGUUGACUAUCAUUUGGAAAGAAUCCGCUUUAACAAAAUUAGCCAAGUAUCCCAAUAUAAUUUAUUGAGUAAUCUGUCUUUUCCCCAGUGACUUGAAAUGCCCAUUUUUUCAUAUACCAAAUCAAUUUCCUGAUUAUUUUUAACAUUUUAUUCUAUUCAAAUGAAUAAUUAUUCUAGCAAUAAGAUCACACUGUUUUAUUUACUUUUGCUUUAUAAUUUGUUGUAGUAUCUGGGAAAGUAAAUACCCUCUCAAACCCUGCUAUUAUUUUUUAAUCAAAAUUUUCUAGACUAGGAGUUCCUGCUGUGGUGCAGUGAGUAAAUGCUCCAGCGUUGCUGCAGCUGUGCUGUAGUCCGCAGCUCCAGCCUGGAUUUGAUCCCUGGUCUGAGAACUUCCGUAUGCCAUGGGUAGAGCUGAAAAAAAUAUUUUUCUAGACUAAUAACCAAAAUAUAUUUGUAAGAAAAAAUGUCAGCCGCAGGAAAAAAAAGAUAUGUGUGUGCGUUUGUAUAUAUAGUCAUGUAUGUCUCUAUACACACACGCAUAUACUUGUAUAUAUAUAUAUAUAUACAUUUGCAUAUAUUCGCAUAUGUACAUAUAUACAUGUAUAUAUUUGCAUAGGCAUAGACAAUUCUUGGAAGGGUGCCCGUGAGGUUAAAAUAGUUACUUUCAGGGAAUGAGACCGUUGGAGAUUCUACUGAUAAGUGAGACUUACUUUUCCACUUUGGACCAUUCUUUAUUUUUUAUGUAUUCUUUAAAAAACAUAUACGCAUUUCUUUUAUAAUGAAAAACAGUACCUGAUUGUCUCUGCCAGAGCCCAAGCCUAUACAAGGGUGUAUCCCAUGUAUCAGUGUCUCUCAGCUGUGGCUGCGCAUUGGAAUGACUUGGGGAGCUUUUAUGAAAUACAGGUGCCCAGGGACCUGUCCCCAGAGAUGCUGAUUUUGUAGGUCUGGAAGAGGGCUUGGGCGACAGUGUAUUUUAAAAGGACUCUAGGUGGUUGUGAUGUGUAGUCACGGCUGAGAACCACUACUGCAGAUGAUGUGAGGCUUGAAAAGGUCCCCAGAGGGCUACCGCAAUGAAGUCUUUUCAGAAUAUAAUUACUUGGGAAUGCAACCCAAAGUAAUCCAUCACUUCUCUGUCAGGCUAACUGUAGUCAUGAGACAGCACACACAGGUCCAGAGCGGGGGUGUGGAAAAAAAGAAUUUUGCUUGAAUGUGUGUGGAGGCAUCCAUCUCUGCGGUAGGCCUUUUUUUUUUUGAAAGGUACAGACGCCUUCAGGCUUCCUCAAUCCGUAAGGGAUUCUUUUAAACUUAUCGUGACCAUAAAAGACACAGCAAAACAGCUGUGUCGAUGCUGGAAGGUUCUCACAGAGCUCCAGGAACUAGCGUUACUUGGCGACUCUCCCACAGGAGACUUUUAAUAUUCUUUCAUCUAGAGAAUUGCUUUGUAAAAAUGAAAUGUCUAUUGGAAGCUUGAUCUGAAAAACAGAUCCAAGAGGACCCCAAAGAAACCUAAGGACGGACUGGAAAUCCAGUGUUACCAUAGCUCUCUCUGCCUCUUGCAUGUGUGUCUUCUUUGGAUGCUUCUAUCCACUGACUGAUUCUGCCUCUGUAUUCCUGACAAAGGAACUGAUUGGCCCAACUCAUCCACAGUGGUCUGUCCCUCUGUAGUCAUGUGGCAAGACUUCCACGCCACGUGACUACAGAGAUGGGCCCAACAGUUCCUGGGGUCCUGUGCCCAUUCAUCCCUGGUCACCUGAGCCAGGGGGAGAAAUGGGUGCAUAAAGCUGCCUUGGGAUUGCAGGGAGAAGGCUUGGACAACAGUGUCCCUUAGAAUGAGAGAGUGGACAGACCAUCCACCAUGAUUAACCUGCCCAGGCCAAGCCCUAGCUGGUCAUCUGUGAGUGUUGAAUUGGAGGAGGUUUUCAACAGAGUGUGAAACUGCCUAAAUUCAAGCAAGGAGGUUAAGGAAAAACUGUCAGGAAUAAAUAGAUGGUUCUUUUACAUUAUAUAUCUAUGUCUCCUCGAAAGGUGUCUUCUUCUUCUUCUUCUUUUUUUUUUUUUUUUUUUUUUUUGGCCACACCUGGGGCAUGUGGAAGUUCCCAGGCUAGGGGUCCAAUUGGAGCUGUAGCUGCUGGGCUACGCCAUAGCCACAGCAAUGCCAGAUCUGAGCCGUGUCUGAGACCUACACCACAGCUCAUGGCGACGCCAGAUCCUUGACCCACUGAGUGAGGUCAGAGAUCGAACCUGCAACGUCAUGGUUCUUAGUAGAAUUUGUUUCUGCUGUGCUACGACAGGAAUUCCGCCCCCCUCAACCUCUUUUUUUUUUUUUUUUUAAGAUUAGUCCCAGUUUACUGGGAAAGUUGUCUGUUUAUUUUCUUUUUAAUUUUUUAGUAUAGUUGAUUUACAAUGUUCUGUCAAUUUCUGCUCUGCAGCAAAGGGACCCAGUCAUACACAUAUACAUUCUUUUUCUUACAUUAUCCUCCAUCAUAAUGAUGAGAUAUAGUUUCUUGUGCUCUACAGCAGGACCCCGUUGCUACUCCAAAUGCUAUAGGCUGCAUCCACUCACCCCAAACUCCCAGCCCAUCCCACUCCGUGGUUCUUGUUGGUUCAGUAGCAGUGCGACCUCCUCUGGCUUGCUCUCUCUCUGCCUGGUAGACUGCAGCCCAGUUCCCUUUCUCAAACAGAACCACUUAAUCCCCUCCCGUGGUUUCCCCACGUCCCAUACCCCUGCAGCGUUGUUUACGACUUCGCCUCAGCACGUCUUUGCAAAGCUUCUCUCCGCCUCUUGGCCUCUGUUAUUCUUUCCUUUUUCCCCCCACCUUCCUUUCUAGGACCCGGCUCACAGCAAGCAUUGCGCAUGUGUAUUCUUGCCCACUUUUUGCAAGUUUUCUACCCAAUAGCCUGCCUUUGGAGACAAAUGACUGCUUCCUGAUGCUUUGUCAUCAUUCAUCCUGGUUCCCCAUGGAACGAAGUUUGCGGAUGGGACUAAGUCACUUCUAGAAGUGUAUCUACUUCAAGAGUUAAUAAUGAGGGAGCCCCUGUGGUGGCUCGGUGGGUUACCAACCCAACUUGAGGACACACGUUCAAUUCCUGGCCUUGCUCAGUGGGUUAAAGGAUCUCUUGUUGCUGUGAGCUGUGGUGUAGACUGCAGAUACGGCUCGGAUCCUGAGUUGUUUUGGCUGUGGUGAAGGCCAGCCGCUGCAGCUCUGAUUCAACCCCUAGCCCGGGAACUUCCAUGUGCUGCAGGUGCGGNAAAAAAAAAAAAAAAAAAAAAA